UACGGAGGGUGCGAGCGUUAAUCGGAGUAACUGGGCGUAAAGGGUCCGCAGGCGGUCUUUCAAGUGAGAUGUGAAAUCCCCGAGCUUAACCUGGGAAUAGCAUUUCAGACUGGGAGUCUAGAGUACUUUAGGGAGGGGUAGAAUUCCACGUGUAGCGGUGAAAUGCGUAGAGAUGUGGAGGAAUACCGAAGGCGAAGGCAGCCCCCUGGGAAUGUACUGACGCUCAUGGGCGAAAGCGUGGGGAGCAAACAGG
rnacentral:rRNA from 1 species